CAGGUGCUGUCACAUGAAGGCUUUGUGGAUGGUUUUCUAAAGAUGCUGUUUCAGCCCAGAAUCACCAACCAGAGCAGCUCAAGGACAUCUGCAUUGAGCCAGAGGAUAACUUUAUGUGACUACAUACCCAGUGGAGUGUGGCUCUGGAGAUCCUACUGCAGUCUGCUAGGGAAGAUGGAUUGCUGUCACUCUGACCUGCAAGCUCUUCUCCACAUUUGCAGUGCGAUGUGAAAAGGUCACAGGGAGUCUCAGACUCCUGAUCAGUCUGGUUUUUGGUAACACUGUAAGGUUCUAAGCCAAUGGCAGGGGGUGGAACAAGAGCUGAAAGUGUUUGUGACACACAAAGGAGUAACAUUCACACCCACCACCAGCCCAGGAUCUCACCGUACCCACUCUGCUCCUGCCCGGAUGCACAUCACCCUCAGACAUCCCUGCAGAGGGGUCAGAAAGCAGCAGCUGCCCACGUGGACCUUUGCCCAGGGAGCUGGACCUCCCAGUAUCAGCUUGUGGAACCACAGAACCAGCUCCGUCUAUCCCAGCCCACGGGCCAGGCAGCACAGCUCCUGGUAGCUGUGUGUGCAGCGGGACAAGUGGGAAGAGGGGAACAAAGGCUCUCUGCCUGAAGUGCUGCCUCAGACCCCCUUGGGGACAUGGCAGAGUUGUUUGUUCUCCUGCACACAGGAGCAUCUUGGAGAAAUGUGGCAAUACCAGUUCUGCUGAGAACAAUUAGGGACAGACGACCCUUUAACCUAUUCUUUGCUUUCCCAGCAAUCAGUUGUAGUUUACCAGUACAACCCCAGACACCAUUCUUUGCCUGAAUGAAGAUGACAUUGUCCUGCCUUUAGCAUAGAUAUUAAAAAAAAAAAAAAAUUAAAAAUCACACUAAGUUGAAAGGAGCAACUUCUCUCAAGGAUGCAGGACUUUAUUGUUAACCAGUUACUUAUUCAACUAAGAAAACAGUUGGACCAUGGAGACCUAAUGAGCUGGUAAUUAUUCUCAAGCUUUGCCUGAUCUGGAUCACAAGACAUAUCUUUAUUCUCUAUCAGUAAAAUCCCAUUGCAGGCAAGGGAACAAGAAUCAUCUGUUAAACUGGAUCCUGUUCACAGUCCCAAUAUUCUGGAACAAUGGGUGUUUUCACACUCAGGUCUGCAGAAACAUCUCACUGCAAUUACUUUAUUACGAUUAAUCACU